rnacentral:rRNA from 1 species
CAGUCGUACGCUUCUUUUUCCCCGGAGCUUGCUCCACCGGAAAAAGAAGAGUGGCGAACGGGUGAGUAACACGUGGGUAACCUGCCCAUCAGAAGGGGAUAACACUUGGAAACAGGUGCUAAUACCGUAUAACAAUCGAAACCGCAUGGUUUUGAUUUGAAAGGCGCUUUCGGGUGUCGCUGAUGGAUGGACCCGCGGUGCAUUAGCUAGUUGGUGAGGUAACGGCUCACCAAGGCCACGAUGCAUAGCCGACCUGAGAGGGUGAUCGGCCACAUUGGGACUGAGACACGGCCCAAACUCCUACGGGAGGCAGCAGUAGGGAAUCUUCGGCAAUGGACGAAAGUCUGACCGAGCAACGCCGCGUGAGUGAAGAAGGUUUUCGGAUCGUAAAACUCUGUUGUUAGAGAAGAACAAGGAUGAGAGUAACUGUUCAUCCCUUGACGGUAUCUAACCAGAAAGCCACGGCUAACUACGUGCCAGCAGCCGCGGUAAUACGUAGGUGGCAAGCGUUGUCCGGAUUUAUUGGGCGUAAAGCGAGCGCAGGCGGUUUCUUAAGUCUGAUGUGAAAGCCCCCGGCUCAACCGGGGAGGGUCAUUGGAAACUGGGAGACUUGAGUGCAGAAGAGGAGAGUGGAAUUCCAUGUGUAGCGGUGAAAUGCGUAGAUAUAUGGAGGAACACCAGUGGCGAAGGCGGCUCUCUGGUCUGUAACUGACGCUGAGGCUCGAAAGCGUGGGGAGCAAACAGGAUUAGAUACCCUGGUAGUCCACGCCGUAAACGAUGAGUGCUAAGUGUUGGAGGGUUUCCGCCCUUCAGUGCUGCAGCUAACGCAUUAAGCACUCCGCCUGGGGAGUACGACCGCAAGGUUGAAACUCAAAGGAAUUGACGGGGGCCCGCACAAGCGGUGGAGCAUGUGGUUUAAUUCGAAGCAACGCGAAGAACCUUACCAGGUCUUGACAUCCUUUGACCACUCUAGAGAUAGAGCUUCCCCUUCGGGGGCAAAGUGACAGGUGGUGCAUGGUUGUCGUCAGCUCGUGUCGUGAGAUGUUGGGUUAAGUCCCGCAACGAGCGCAACCCUUAUUGUUAGUUGCCAUCAUUUAGUUGGGCACUCUAGCAAGACUGCCGGUGACAAACCGGAGGAAGGUGGGGAUGACGUCAAAUCAUCAUGCCCCUUAUGACCUGGGCUACACACGUGCUACAAUGGGAAGUACAACGAGUCGCGAAGUCGCGAGGCUAAGCUAAUCUCUUAAAGCUUCUCUCAGUUCGGAUUGUAGGCUGCAACUCGCCUACAUGAAGCCGGAAUCGCUAGUAAUCGCGGAUCAGCACGCCGCGGUGAAUACGUUCCCGGGCCUUGUACACACCGCCCGUCACACCACGAGAGUUUGUAACACCCGAAGUCGGUGAGGUAACC